AGGGCGCAGGGCGAAUGCCUUGGCACUGGGAGCCGAUGAAAGACGUGAUAAGCUGCGAUAAGCUUCGGGGAGCUGCAAAUAAGCAUUGAUCCGGAGAUUUCUGAAUGAGGAAACUCACCUGGGUUCAUACUCAGGUACGUUAUACUGAACUUCAAAAUAGGUAUAUCGAGGGAACCGCCUGAACUGAAACAUCUAAGUAGGGCGAGGAAGAGACAUCAAACGAGAUUCCGUAAGUAGUGGCGAGCGAACGCGGAAGAGGGCAAACCGAGAGUAGAAAUACUUUCGGGGUACGGACUGCUUUUAGGACUUAAUCUGUUAACCGAACGGCAUGGGAAGGCCGGUCAGAGAGUGUGAGAACCACGUAGGUGAAAACGGAGAGAGCUGCGCAGGAUCCAGAGUACGGCCAGACACGUGAAACCUGGUCGGAAUACGGGGGGACCACCCUCCAACCCUAAAUACUACCCAGUGACCGAUAGCGUAUAGUACUGUGAAGGAAAGGUGAAAAGCACCCCGGGAGGGGAGUGAAAUAGAACCUGAAACCCUGUGCCUACAAGCACCUAGAGCACGUCAAUGUGUGAUAGGGUACUUUUUGUAGAACGGUCCGGCGAGCGAUUGUAUGCAGCAAGGUUAAGGACUUAAGGUCUGGAGCCGAAGCGAAAGCGAGUUUGAAAAGGGCGUUAAGUUGCAUACAAUGGGCCCGAAACCGGGUGACCUACCCAUGGUCAGGUUGAAGUGGAAGUAAAAUUCCAUGGAGGACCGAACCGACCUCCGUUGAAAAGGCGGCGGAUGAACUGUGGGUAGCGGAGAAAUUCCAAUCGAACCCGGAGAUAGCUGGUUCUCCCCGAAAUAGUUUUAGGACUAGCCUCAAGUUAGAUACCUGGAGGUAAAGCACUGAAUAGCCUAGCGGCCGAGAGGUUAGCGAAGCUUAUCAAACUCAGAAUGCCAGAGUAUUGAUGCUUGGGAGUCAGACAGUGUCAGAUAAAUGUCAUUGUCAAAAGGGAAACAGCCCAGAUCUACAGCUAAGGUCCCAAAGUCAGGUUAAGUGGAAAACGAUGUGAAGAUACGCAGACAACCAGGAUGUUGGCUCAGAAGCAGCCACUCAUUCAAAGAGUGCGUAAUAGCUCACUGGUCGAGCGUCUUUGCGCGGAGAAUUUAACGGGGCUAAACCUGACACCGAAGCUUAGGCAGCAUGUUUACAUGCUGGGUAGGGGAGCGUUGUAUACGCGGUGAAACAGUAGCGCAAGCGGCUGUGGAGUGUAUAGAAGUGAGAAUGCCGGAAUGAGUAGCGCGAAUGCAGUGAGAAUCUGCAUGGCCGAAAGCCUCAGGUUUCUGGAGGAAGGUUCGUCCGCUCCAGGUUAGUCGGGAGCUAAGGUGAGGCCUAACGGCGUAGCCGAUGCACAGACGGUAGAGAUUCCGUCACCACCAAAAGAGUUAAACACAGGGACACAUAUGAAGUCUCGGAGCCGGGUGUUGGUUCCGGUAGCGAUCGAGGGAAGUUAGUACCGAAGUCUGAGAUGGAAGAUGGCGAGAAAAGCUGUGUGAAUUUCUGCGGUGCCCGUACCGCAAACCGACACAGGUAGGUAGGAAGAAGAUUCUAAGGCCAACGGGAGAAGGGUUGUUAAGGAACUCGGCAAAUUGACCCCGUAACUUCGGGAGAAGGGGUGCUCCAGAGAUGGAGCCGCAGAGAAUCGGCCCAAGCAACUGUUUACCAAAAACACAGGUUUGUGCUAAAUCGAAAGAUGACGUAUACGAGCUGACGCCUGCCCGGUGCUGGAAGGUUAAGAGGAGAUGUGCAAGCAUUGAAUCGAAGCCCCAGUGAACGGCGGCCGUAACUAUAACGGUCCUAAGGUAGCGAAAUUCCUUGUCAGGUAAGUUCUGACCCGCAUGAAAGGCGUAAUGAUUUGGGCACUGUCUCAACAGCCCGCCCGGCGAAAUUGUAGUACCGGUGAAGAUGCCGGUUACCCGCGACAAGACGGAAAGACCCCAUGGAGCUUUACUGUAGCCUAAUAUUGGGUUUCGAUGUUGCAUGCACAGGAUAGAUGGGACACUGGGAAGCAGGUGCUUUGGCGCUUGUGGAGUGGCCGUUGGGAUACCAUCCUUGCGAUAUUGGAAUUCUAACCUGCGCCUUUGAAUCAAGGCGGGGGACAUUGUUAGGUGGGCAGUUUGACUGGGGCGGUCGCCUCCUAAAGAGUAACGGAGGCGUUCAAAGGUUCGCUCAGCUUGAACGGAAAUCAAGCAAAAGAGUGCAAACGCAGAAGCGAGCCUAACUGCGAGACUGACGGGUCGAGCAGUAACGAAAGUUGGAGUUAGUGAUCCGGUGGUAUGUGAGUGGAAAUGCCAUCGCUCAACGGAUAAAAGUUACCCUGGGGAUAACAGGCUGAUCUCCCCCAAGAGUCCACAUCGACGGGGAGGUUUGGCACCUCGAUGUCGGCUCAUCGCAUCCUGGGGCUGUAUUCGGUCCCAAGGGUUUGGCUGUUCGCCAAUUAAAGCGGUACGCGAGCUGGGUUCAGAACGUCGUGAGACAGUUCGGUCCCUAUCUGUCGUGGGCGCAGGAUAUUUGAUGGGAGCUGUCCCUAGUACGAGAGGACCGGGACGGACGUACCUCUGGCGCACCAGUUGUUCCGCCAGGAGCAUAGCUGGGCAACUACGUACGGAUCGGAUAAACGCUGAAAGCAUCUAAGCGUGAAGCCGACCCAAAGAUAAGAUAUCCCACUGAUUUGA
rnacentral:rRNA from 1 species